rnacentral:rRNA from 1 species
CGCCAGACUCCUACGGGAGGCAGCAGUAGGGAAUAUUGCUCAAUGGGGGAAACCCUGAAGCAGCAACGCCGCGUGGAGGAUGAAGGUUUUCGGAUUGUAAACUCCUUUUGUUAGAGAAGAUAAUGACGGUACCUGACGAAUAAGCCACGGCUAACUACGUGCCAGCAGCCGCGGUAAUACGUAGGUGGCAAGCGUUAUCCGGAUUUAUUGGGUGUAAAGGGCGUGUAGGCGGGAAUGCAAGUCAGAUGUGAAAUCCUAUGGCUUAACCAUAGAACUGCAUUUGAAACUGUUAUUCUAGAGUAUGGGAGAGGUAGGUGGAAUUCUUGGUGUAGGGGUAAAAUCCGUAGAGAUCAAGAGGAAUACUCAUUGCGAAGGCGACCUGCUAGAACAUAACUGACGCUGAUGCGCGAAAGCGUGGGGAGCAAACAGGAUUAGAUACCCGUGUAG